rnacentral:rRNA from 1 species
UACGUAGGGGGCAAGCGUUGUCCGGAAUCAUUGGGCGUAAAGAGCGUGUAGGCGGCCCGGUAAGUCCGCUGUGAAAGUCGGGGGCUCAACCCUCGAAUGCCGGUGGAUACUGUCGGGCUAGAGUGCGGAAGAGGCGAGUGGAAUUCCUGGUGUAGCGGUGAAAUGCGCAGAUAUCAGGAGGAACACCGAUUGUGAAGGCAGCUCGCUGGGACGUCACUGACGCUGAGACGCGAAAGCGUGGGGAGCAAACAGG